rnacentral:rRNA from 2 species
GUGCGAGACCGAUAGCGAACAAGUACCGUGAGGAAAAGAUGAAAAGGACUUUGAAAAGAGAGUUAAAGAGUACCUGAAACUGCUGAAAGGGAACCGAAUCGUAUCCAGUGUCUAUAAUCCAUGGCAUAUUUCAUUGGCGAAUGAGUGCGUGCGGCGUUUUGGAAGUGGUUUCCGCUCCUGUCGUUGCUGUGCAUUUUUUUGCUGGUGCCCUGUGCUGUGGUGGGACGUCAGAGUCAGUUUGUAUGCUGCGGGAAAUGGUUAUUGGGGAGGUAGGUCGCUUCGGUGGCUGUUAUAUCCUGGUGACUAGUCGUCGUGGCUGAGACUGAGGUGCCUACAAUGUGCUUUCGAGUGUGCGGGUUUCUCGUGUGGCUGUUUGCUUUGAUAGCUUGCUAUGUUGGUGAAUAAGUUGUGCGAUUGAGACCUGUAUUAACUUGUUGCUGUUCGGGACUUUG